rnacentral:hammerhead_ribozyme from 1 species
GCACUGCCGAAGAGUCCCUCAAUAGGGCGAAACGGCCGUCCAGUGC